rnacentral:tRNA from 1 species
UCCCCAGUGGCUCAGUGGUAAAGAAUCUGCCUGCAAUGCAGGAGACCCAGGUUCAAUCCCUGGGCUAGGAA